rnacentral:rRNA from 1 species
CCUACGGGUGGCAGCAGUGGGGAAUAUUGGACAAUGGGGGCAACCCUGAUCCAGCCAUGCCGCGUGUGUGAAGAACGCCCUCGGGUUGUAAAGCACUUUCAGUGAGGAAGAACGCCUGGUGGUUAAUACCCAUCAGGAAAGACAUCACUCACAGAAGAAGCACCGGCUAACUCCGUGCCAGCAGCCGCGGUAAUACGGAGGGUGCGAGCGUUAAUCGGAAUUACUGGGCGUAAAGCGCGCGUAGGUGGCUUGAUAAGCCGGUUGUGAAAGCCCCGGGCUCAACCUGGGAACGGCAUCCGGAACUGUCAAGCUAGAGUGCAGGAGAGGAAGGUAGAAUUCCCGGUGUAGCGGUGAAAUGCGUAGAGAUCGGGAGGAAUACCAGUGGCGAAGGCGGCCUUCUGGACUGACACUGACACUGAGGUGCGAAAGCGUGGGUAGCAAACAGGAUUAGAUACCCCUGUAGUC